AGCGUUAACGCUGACACCCAGUGUGAAUGUGGCGUGACACGCUCAUAUCACACAGAAUGCGCUUUUGUGUUGACAGAGAUGCGACGCGAGCAGUGGAAUAGGAAAAACAUACAAGAAGAUAGGAAUAAACUUCUUUUAACGUGAGCACCACAUUUUUAGACUGCCGUUUCAUGCAAAAGACGUGAUCGCAACAGUCAAACGCGUCCAUGUUACAUAGAAAAAACAAUGGAAAAGCAGCGCAGUCGAAUAAAAAACCUGUAACAACUACUGUAUGUCUGAUAUUUAGAGAUGCACUGAUGGCAAUUUUCUUGGCCUAUUCCGAUUUUUUUUGUGACCUGCCAAUUCCGAUUUUCUUUCCAAGAACUACAUUUGACAGCAUAUACAAACAAAAAUCAGAUACUUUUAUUCAAUGCAAA